AACGCAUUAAGAACCAAAGCAUCGAAUUCUCAUCUCGCUGAUCAGGGCUUCAAGAGAGGCUUCGAUGGAUGUGUGUAUCAAAUCGGGGGGAGUCGACAUUUCUAUGAAAAUGAUGGCUACCGCAAUCCAAGCCGUCCUUGGUGCUGUGUUUCUGGACUGCAACAAAAACAUGUCCGUUUUCCUGGAAGUGAUCGAGGUUUUGGAUCUCUCUUGGAAUUAAAAUAAAUUACUCCAAGGUAUCGAUCGCCAACUCCAUAUCCCGAAUGCAAAUCUCACCAAAUUUGUUGAAAGCCAAUACGACUAACGUA
rnacentral:sRNA from 1 species